UUGAAAUCUCCACUUGCAAAUUCCACAAAUAGAGUGUUUCAAAUCUGCUGUGUCUAAAGGAACGUUCAAAUCUGAGAGUUGAAUACACACAACAUGAAGAACUUACUGAGAAAUCUUCUGUCUAGCAUUAUAUGAAGAAAUCCCAUUUCCAACGAAGGCAUCUAAGAGGUCCAAAUAUCCACUUGCAGACUUUACAAACAGAGUGUUUCCAGAAUGCGGUAUGAAAAGAAAGGUUAAACUCUGUGAGUUAAACACACACCUCACUACGCAGUUUCUGGGAAUGAUUUUGUCUUGUUUUUAUACGAAGAUAUUUCCUUUUCUACAAUUGGCCUCCAAGCGCUUGAAAUCUGCACUUGCAAAUUCCACAAAAAGAGUGUUUCAA
rnacentral:lncRNA from 10 species